rnacentral:rRNA from 1 species
UGAGGAAUUUUGCGCAAUGGACGAAAGUCUGACGCAGCGACGCCUCGUGAAUGAUGAAGUCUUUCGGGAUGUAAAGUUCUGUCGGUGGGGAAAAUUAUGAUGGUACCCACAAAGGAAGCACCGGCUAACUACGUGCCAGCAGCCGCGGUAAUACGUAGGGUGCGAGCGUUAUCCGGAUUUAUUGGGCGUAAAGGGUGUGUAGGCGGUUUGGUAAGUUAGGUGUGAAAGCUGCGGGCUUAACCCGUAGUUGCGCCUAAAACUACUUGGCUAGAGAGUGCUAGAGGAAAGCGGAACUCAUGGUGUAGCGGUGAAAUGCGUAGAUAUCAUGAGGAACACCAGUGGCGAAGGCGGCUUUCUGGGGCAUUUCUGACGCUGAAACACGAAAGCAUGGGGAGCAAACAGG